UACGGGGGGGGCAAGCGUUGUUCGGAAUUACUGGGCGUAAAGGGCUCGUAGGUGGCCAACUAAGUCGGACGUGAAAUCCCUCGGCUUAACCGGGGAACUGCGUCUGAUACUGGAUGGCUUGAGGUUGGGAGAGGGAUGCGGAAUUCCAGGUGUAGCGGUGAAAUGCGUAGAUAUCUGGAGGAACACCGGUGGCGAAGGCGGCAUCCUGGACCAAUUCUGACACUGAGGAGCGAAAGCCAGGGGAGCAAACGGG
rnacentral:rRNA from 1 species